CCUACGGGAGGCAGCAGUAGGGAAUCUUCCACAAUGGGCGCAAGCCUGAUGGAGCAACACCGCGUGAGUGAAGAAGGGUUUCGGCUCGUAAAGCUCUGUUGUUGGAGAAGAACGUGCGUGAGAGUAACUGUUCACGCAGUGACGGUAUCCAACCAGAAAGUCUCGGCUAAAUACGUGCCAGCAGCCGCGGUAAUACGGAGGUGGCAGGCGUUAUCCGGAUUUAUUGGGCGGAAAGCGAGCGCAGGCGGUUGCUUAGCGCUGAUGUGAAAGCCUUCGGCUUAACCGAAGAAGUGCAUCGGAAACCGGGCAACUUGAGUGCGGAAGAGGACAGUGGAACUCCAUGGGUAGCGGUGGAAUGCGUAGAUAUAUGGAAGAACACCAGUGGCGAAGGCGGCUGUCUGGUCUGCAACUGACGCUGAGGCUCGAAAGCAUGGGUAGCAAACAGGAUUAGAUACCCUGGUAGUC
rnacentral:rRNA from 1 species